CAGUCGCCGCGGGAAAACCAGCAGCCCAAGUGGUGGUCGCGUUUAUUGGGCCUAAAGCGCUCGUAGCCUGACCGGUAAGUUCCCCGUGAAAUCGGGUCGCCCAACGAUUCGGCUUGCGGGGAAUACUGUCGGUCUUGGGGCCGGGAGACGCCGAGGGUACUCCGGGGGUAGCGGUGAAAUGCUGUAAUCCUCGGGGGACUACCAGUGGCGAAGGCGCUCGGCGAUAACGGGCCUGACGGUGAGGGGCGAAAGCUGGGGGCGCGAACGGGAUUAGAUACCCCCGUAGUCCCUGUCUCUUAUU
rnacentral:rRNA from 1 species